rnacentral:rRNA from 1 species
AUUGAACGCUGGCGGAAUGCCUUACACAUGCAAGUCGAACGGUAGAGGGGGCAACCCCUCGAGAGUGGCGAACGGGUGAGUAAUAUAUCGGAACGUGCCCAGUCGUGGGGGAUAACGUAGCGAAAGUUACGCUAAUACCGCAUACGAGCUAAGGAUGAAAGCGGGGGAUCGCAAGACCUCGCGCGAUUGGAGCGGCCGAUAUCAGAUUAGGUAGUUGGUGGGGUAAAGGCUCACCAAGCCAACGAUCUGUAGCUGGUCUGAGAGGACGACCAGCCACACUGGAACUGAGACACGGUCCAGACUCCUACGGGAGGCAGCAGUGGGGAAUUUUGGACAAUGGACGCAAGUCUGAUCCAGCCAUUCCGCGUGCAGGAUGAAGGCCCUCGGGUUGUAAACUGCUUUUGUACGGAACGAAAAGGUCUCUCUUAAUACGGGGGACUCAUGACGGUACCGUAAGAAUAAGCACCGGCUAACUACGUGCCAGCCGCCGCCGUAA